rnacentral:rRNA from 1 species
GAUGAACGCUGGCGGCGUGCCUAACACAUGCAAGUCGAGCGAUUCUCUUCGGAGAAGAGCGGCGGACGGGUGAGUAACGCGUGGGUAACCUGCCCUAUACACACGGAUAACGUACCGAAAGGUACGCUAAUACGAGAUAAUAUGCUUUAGUCGCAUGGCUGAAGUAUCAAAGCUCCGGCGGUAUAGGAUGGACCCGCGUCUGAUUAGCUAGUUGGUAAGGUAAUGGCUUACCAAGGCGACGAUCAGUAGCCGACCUGAGAGGGUGAUCGGCCACAUUGGAACUGAGACACGGUCCAAACUCCUACGGGAGGCAGCAGUGGGGAAUAUUGCACAAUGGGCGAAAGCCUGAUGCAGCAACGCCGCGUGAGCGAUGAAGGCCUUCGGGUCGUAAAGCUCUGUCCUCAAGGAAGAUAGUGACGGUACUUGAGGAGGAAGCCCCGGCUAACUACGUGCCAGCAGCCGCCGUAA